AACGAACGCUGGCGGCAGGCCUAACACAUGCAAGUCGAACGAAGCCUUCGGGCUUAGUGGCGGACGGGUGAGUAACGCGUGGGAACGUGCCCUUUGGUUCGGAAUAGCCCCGGGAAACUGGGAGUAAUACCGGAUGAGCCCUUCGGGGGAAAGAUUUAUCGCCAAAGGAUCGGCCCGCGGUGGAUUAGGUAGUUGGUGGGGUAAUGGCCUACCAAGCCGACGAUCCAUAGCUGGUUUGAGAGGAUGAUCAGCCACACUGGGACUGAGACACGGCCCAGACUCCUACGGGAGGCAGCAGUGGGGAAUCUUAGACAAUGGGGGAAACCCUGAUCUAGCCAUGCCGCGUGAUCGAUGAAGGCCUUAGGGUUGUAAAGAUCUUUCAGUGGGGAAGAUAAUGACGGUACCCACAGAAGAAGCCCCGGCUAACUCCGUGCCAGCAGCCGCCGUAACAC
rnacentral:rRNA from 1 species